AACGCUAGCUACAGGCUUAACACAUGCAAGUCGAGGGGAAACGACAUCGAAAGCUUGCUUUUGAUGGGCGUCGACCGGCGCACGGGUGAGUAACGCGUAUCCAACCUGCCCACCACUUGGGGAUAACCUUGCGAAAGUAAGACUAAUACCCAAUGAUAUCUCUAGAAGACAUCUGAAAGAGAUUAAAGAUUUAUCGGUGAUGGAUGGGGAUGCGUCUGAUUAGCUUGUUGGCGGGGUAACGGCCCACCAAGGCGACGAUCAGUAGGGGUUCUGAGAGGAAGGUCCCCCACAUUGGAACUGAGACACGGUCCAAACUCCUACGGGAGGCAGCAGUGAGGAAUAUUGGUCAAUGGACGAGAGUCUGAACCAGCCAAGUAGCGUGCAGGAUGACGGCCCUAUGGGUUGUAAACUGCUUUUAUAAGGGAAUAAAGUGAGUCUCGUGAGACUUUUUGCAUGUACCUUAUGAAUAAGGGCCGGCUAAUUCCGUGCCAGCAGCCGCGGUAAUACGGAAGGUCCGGGCGUUAUCCGGAUUUAUUGGGUUUAAAGGGAGCGUAGGCCGGAGAUUAAGCGUGUUGUGAAAUGUAGACGCUCAACGUCUGCACUGCAGCGCGAACUGGUUUCCUUGAGUACGCACAAAGUGGGCGGAAUUCGUGGUGUAGCGGUGAAAUGCUUAGAUAUCACGAAGAACUCCGAUUGCGAAGGCAGCUCACUGGAGCGCAACUGACGCUGAAGCUCGAAAGUGCGGGUAUCGAACAGGAUUAGAUACCCUGGUAGUCCGCACGGUAAACGAUGGAUGCCCGCUGUUGGUCUGAAUAGGUCAGCGGCCAAGCGAAAGCAUUAAGCAUCCCACCUGGGGAGUACGCCGGCAACGG
rnacentral:rRNA from 1 species